UCUGUCCUGCAGGGCCGUCAAGCUCAGUAUGUAACAGCUGGCUGUAGUGGAAACCUGCCACGUGUUCUUGGGUGGAAGGAUUUCACAGUGUCAGCUGAUGAAAAUGACAACUGCACAUCUCUCCUGUGUGCUGCCUACAUCCAUCAAGAAGCAUCAGCCUGAAAAUCAAGAAACGAGCAGUUUUGGUUUUGAUUCCUGAGAAAUCAUUCCAGAUGGUUUAACACUGACUCACACUGCAAUGAACAAGCAGUCUUGGCACUUAAUGUGUUCCAGUAUUAUUUCCCUGCUGCUAGAAGACUCCCUGUAGACAUCAGUGUUGGUGAAGGCAUUAGAACAAGCAGAACAUCAGAUCAGCAGCUGCUGUUCAAACCAAGAUAGGAGUGAAAUUCUGAUCCUACUUAAGGGCAACCAGUGUUUUGCCAUUGACUUCAGGAAGGCUGCAGCUUCCACCCAUUUUGUCUCUGGCAUUCAAGAAGUUGCUGUAACUCAAACCUCUCCAUUUACAUACUGUUGAGUUCAAC